UUACAUUUGAAUGCAUUUACAAAUAUUUUUAACGGCUGUUAUUUAACAGCUGAACCACUAAUUACACAUGGUUGGGACAUUUAACUUUACAUUACAAGAAAUCAAGACACUCUGGCAACAACGUGCAUUUGUUUACAUUUGCGGACGUAUAUGUAUAUAGGUAUGGACCUCUAUCAUCAGCUCACUGGAUGGAAUUGGGUCUGUACAAGUUGGCUUGAGCAGGUGUCAAAACAAUGGACCCGGUGAUUUCAUCAGGCUGCUGCAACCUCAGGGGAAGUAUAAAGCCGCACCGUAAGUGAGUAAGUAUUUGAUUUUUAUAGAUUGCUUCGCUUAUAUGCUUCCAGAGGGCGUGUCUUUCGGUGUGCGCCUUUCCACCAUUGGCGCACUGGACGGCGGUGAAAUUUCAGGUGACCUGGGAGCGGUCUGAGUAAAUGCCACGUGACGUCAUUGGACUGCUGCAACUGCCAUGGAUCGAGCAUUAGGCCAAUGAGAAGAAGAUUCACCAGUGGCUGCUGUAACUGUCGGACAGGCCUUCGUUGGAUGCUGGAUAUACUGCGGUGCGGAUUUGGCGAGCCAGUCAAAAGGCGAUUCCAGGGACGGAAAUGUGCACCGGCAAUGGACGAGGCCCGUGCAGAAGGGAGCAUUGCAGCCGGCUCGCUGCGCCCAGCCAGAGGAUUCGCAACAGGAUAGCUGGCCACCGGAUGGACUACUCGCCUCCGCUUUCGUCGUGGAUUCACCAGGAGGCCGUCAGUAUCUGUGCCGUUUGCCUGUAGAUAGAAGUUUUGGAGUAGAGAUAGGCUGCUGCAGGCUGCGAAGCGGAUUCGGAGAAGUUGCCAGAGAGUCAUUCCGGAUACGCAGGUCAAUCCCGGCAGUAGGCGAGGCCCUUAUAGAAGAUGGCGUGGGAGGCCGCUCGCUGCAGGCAGCCAUAGGGAUUACAGCAGGAUGGCAGGCCAACGGAUGGACUGCUGGGCGCCAGAUUUGCCUUGGAUGCACCAAGAGGCCGUCAGUAGCUGUGAUAUUUGCCUGUAAAUAAAGGUUUUGGAGUGGCCAUAGCUUUUGGUUGUGCAGCUUCUACACACACAGAUGAGGCUUCCUGGUGCGGAUUUGUGCGGGCUCGGCUUUCUUCGGCGGCAAAUGCUGCGUCCAUCUCGUCGUCGAGUUCCUUCUCAAGCUGCUGCUGCAGGGACUGCAUCUGCUCUUCGAGAAGCUGCUCUGGAGUAGGCGGAGGGAGUUCGUGCGGUUCAAGCGGAGUCAUUAUGAGCCUUUGUAUGUAUUCAGGUUCAAAACGAAUCUUCUGUGCCAUUUCUAAUCGAUUCAUUUCUCCUCUUCUGAGACAUUGCGCCAUACAAUUAACCCAGAUUAUUGAGGGUCUCUCCUGCGGGAUACCAAGGGCUAUGCAACGCUCUUGUUCAAGGCGUUUCCGUUCGACAAGUGCUUCCUUGGCUUGGGACUCCCGGAGUUGGCGCUGUUGUUCAAUUUCAAGCUGCUCGUGCCUGAUUAAAGUUGGCAGCAGUAGUUGUUGUUGUGCUGCCUGCUGCAAGAGUUGUUGUUGGAGAGGCCGAAAAUUUGGAUGGCGAAAUAGUGAAGCUGCUAGUCUGCCGCUGGCUUUAUCAAAGGUUUCUUCUGCAGAGUCAAUGUUGUGUGCAUCUCGGAUAACUUGAUUUCUUGUGUACCUGCUAGCCUUCACGAUUUUCCGUAGGAGUUGGUUCUGUGCGCUUUCUACCCUGCAAAAUUGUGAUUCGCAUACCAAUGCUCCCCAUACAGAUAGCCGGCUCUGAUGACCAAUGAUCCAGUUCAGUCUCAUGGCUGCUGCUCUCACUCGAAUUGCUAACUGGGUGGUAUGGGCAUGUAGCACAAGUUUCCUGUCCAUUAUCAAGCCUAGAUAGCGAUGCCUUGGCUUACUUUUGAUUGCUUCGUUGUACAUUUUUGGCGAUAGCUCACCUAUGCCAUUUGCAAUCGAUCGCCUUGUGUAGAGGACAUGGACCGUUUUGCUGGUAUUAAGGCUGAUGCACCAUUUGGAAGCCCAGGCAGUGAAGUGUUCAAGAUAGCGCUGAUUUGUUCUAACCGCUGUACUGGCUUCUUUUUUAGCACAUAGGAUGAUUGUGUCAUCUGCGUGCGGUAGCGGCAUAUCCGACGUGAAGACUGUGUAGAGUACAGGGCCGAGGACGCUACCCUGGGGCACUCCUGCGCAGAUCCUUCCAGGUCUCGAGCGUAUUCCAUUGUUUCCGUUUACAAUAAAUGUUCUAUCUGCUAAGUAACUUUUUAAAACGUUGUAAUAUGUAAACGGGAGUAGCUUCGCUAGCUUAAGUAGUAGACCAUUAUGCCAAACUCGGUCAAAGGCUUCGCUCACGUCGAUAAAUACAGCAGAACAAAAUAACUGUUUCUCAUAUGCAUCAAGAAUAUACUGUGUAACGCGUGCCAGUUGUUGCUCCGUGCUGUGCUCUCUCCUGAAUCCAAACUGAUGAGAGGGAAUAGCCUUCUCAAAGUCUUCGCAUUCAAACAUCCUUUUCAUGAGCAAGGUUUCAAAGAUUUUAGAGAAGCCAGCCAAAAGGCUAAUCGGUCGAUAAGAGCCAACUUCAUUUGCAUUUUUGCUCGGUUUUUUAAUCAUUGUAAUAGCAGCACAUUUCCAUUGUUUGGGGAAAUGGCCAUGUCUCAAGAUGCAAUUGUAAAUAUUUGUCAAAUGAAUAAUUACCUUUUGAGGUAGCGCUUUAA